rnacentral:rRNA from 1 species
CUUCCGUAAGGGGACCUGCGGAAGGAUCAUUACCGAGUGAGGGCCCUCUGGGUCCAACCUCCCACCCGUGUUUAUUUACCUUAUUGCUUCGGCGGGCCCGCCUUCACUGGCCGCCGGGGGGCUCACGCCCCCGGGCCCGCGCCCGCCGAAGACACCCCGAACUCUGUCUGAAGAAUGAAGUCUGAGUGAAAAUAUAAAUUAUUUAAAACUUUCAACAACGGAUCUCUUGGUUCCGGCAUCGAUGAAGAACGCAGCGAAAUGCGAUACGUAAUGUGAAUUGCAAAUUCAGUGAAUCAUCGAGUCUUUGAACGCACAUUGCGCCCCCUGGUAUUCCGGGGGGCAUGCCUGUCCGAGCGUCAUUGCUGCCCUCAAGCCCGGCUUGUGUGUUGGGCCUCGUCCUCCGAUUCCGGGGGACGGGCCCGAAAGGCAGCGGCGGCACCGCGUCCGGUCCUCGAGCGUAUGGGGCUCUGUCACCCGCUCUGUAGGCCCGGCCGGCGCUUGCCGAUCAACCCAAAUUUUUAUCCAGGUUGACCUCGGAUCAGGUAGGGAUACCCGCUGAACUUAAGCAUAUCAAUAAGCGGAGGA